rnacentral:lncRNA from 1 species
AGAAAAAAUAAUAGAAAUGCAAAUGGAAAGAUUAUAUUUGUCACCCCAUUUGUCAGAUAAAUUGCAAAAAUAAGAAAAAUACAUUUUAAAAAGACUAAAUACAUUAUUUUUUUUUAUGUAAAAAAAAAAAAAAAUGCUUCUUGAUUUCAGAAUCUUUCAUAUUUUGACAGGAAACAAUUAAUCCAGACGUACAAGCCUUCCAUCAAAAGGAUAUUCGGGUCAUCUACUCAACUAAAAUAUGUGGUGCUCAUCUGGAAAACGGCGAGUAUCUUCUGUCAGGUAAAAUCAUUUACUAUCUGAAAGCAGAGGUGUGUGUGGUGUUUUUAUGUUUAUUUUUUCCCUCUCUAUAACAAUUUACAAAACCAGUCCUAAUGUAUCUGUUUGGAUUUUACAAGUCUUAUAGUGUAUUCCAGUCAGAUCAACUAAUCCUAAUGUUCCAUUUUAAUAGCUCAAAUCAUUUUAAGAACUUGAUAACACCUUUCAUAAGUGAGCAGUAAUUGUCCUCAGUGAUAUUAUCCAGGACAUCAAACCUACAAACACUAAUGAAUCUCAAAAGAACAUGAGGGUUCAGUAAGUGAGGACAUCUCUAGGUACAAAAAAGUUGCAUAUACAGUAAAACUUUAACUGUAAAAAAUUGAUUUUUUUUUCUUUCACCUAAGGAAAUAUUGUGGAUGGAGUGAUGAUUUUUGGUUUAUGUGACCUUGUGUGGCGUUGGGACCAACUCUCCUCCGUUCAAAAGGGGAACCUCAGCAUGUAUCAGAGAGGCUGUGUCUGUGAGAUUACAUCCUGUACUGGAGCAUCCUGUUUGACCAAGAAGCUUCAAAGAAAGUGUCUGAUAGGAGUCAAAAAAUCACUCAGUCUUGAUUAUGAAGACGCUCUUCAGGCUGUUUGCCUGCCACGCAGCGACGGCUCCUGCAAAUGGCAAAAAUGAAUUAAAACUACAAAAGCUCCUAAAAAUGAUGCCCUGAAGACCAAGUGCAUCCACCAGUUUGGACAUUUAUUCUUCAGAAUGCUUGGAACAUUCUUAAAUGAAUUUAAACUUUACUGGAGCUUUGCGAUGCACUCAGCAAAUACAUACAAAACGGUGUUUUCAUGGAGAUAUGCCAUUAACCAUUAAACUGUUUUUCAUGUAAAAGCAUCUGUGUAUUUAAUGGGAGAUGUAAGCAUGUGUAUAAAUAUGGAUGUUCUUUGUGCCAAUGCUUUAUAUCCAGUGCAUUCACCUGGCAUUGUUUUCACUUUACUAUUUUGAUUUGCACUAAACGGCAAUGUUUAAGGUUCCUUUCCACAGAACCAAAGCCAGAUCAACUUUAAUUUAAGCUUGUAUUUCACUUAGUUUGUAUGGCACGUGUGCUGGUCAUAAUUAGAAUAUCAUCAAAAAGUUGAUUUUAUUUCACUAAUUCCAUUCAAAAAGUGAAACUUGUAUAUUAUAUUCAAAUGUUUAUUUCUUUUAAUUUUGGUGAUUAUAACUGACUACUAAGGAAAAUCCCAAAUUCAGUAUCUCAGAAAAUUAGAAUAUUGUGAAAAGGUUCAAUAUUGAAGACACCUGGUGCCACAUUCUAAUCAGCUAAUUAACUCAAAACACCUGCAAAGGCCUUUAAAUGGUCUCUCAGUCUAGUUCUGUAGGCUACACAAUCAUGGGGAAGACUGCUGACUUGACAGUUGUCCAAAAGAUGACAAUUGACACCUUGCACAAGGAGGGCAAGACACAAAAGGUCAUUGCAAAAGAGGCUGGCUGUUCACAGAGCUCUGUGUCCAAGCACAUUAAUAGAGAGCCGAAGGGAAGGAAAAGAUGUGAUAGAAAAAAAGUGUACAAGCAAUAGGGAUAACCGCACCCUGGAGAGGAUUGUGAAACAAAACCCAUUCAAAAAUGUGGGGGAGAUUCACAAAGAGUGGACUGCAGCUGGAGUCAGUGCUUCAAGAACCACUACACAAAAACGUAUGCAAGACAUGGGUUUCAGCUGUCGCAUUCCUUGUGUCAAGCCACUCUUGAACAACAGACAGCAUCAGAAGCGUCUCGCUUCAAAAAGGACUGGACUGCUGCUGAGUGGUCCAAAGUUAUGUGCUCCGAUGAAAGUAAAUUUUUGCAUUUCCUGCCCCUAAACCUACCCGUCACUGGGGUCUAGGCAAAUCGUAUGAAAUCGUACGAGUGAGGUCGUACAAAUUCGUACGAAUUAGCCACCUCGUAAAAUACGUACGAAUUGGUCGUGAGAUAGCGUUGAGUGGACUG